UACGGGGGGAGCAAGCGUUGUUCGGAUUUACUGGGCGUAAAGGGCGCGUAGGCGGUCAGCACAAGUCAGUUGUGAAAUCUCCGGGCUUAACUCGGAAAGGUCAACUGAUACUGUGCGACUAGAGUGCGGAAGGGGCAACUGGAAUUCUCGGUGUAGCGGUGAAAUGCGUAGAUAUCGAGAGGAACACCUGUGGCGAAGGCGGGUUGCUGGGCCGCCACUGACGCUGAUGCGCGAAAGCCAGGGGAGCGAACGGG
rnacentral:rRNA from 1 species